CGGGAUGUAGCGCAGCCCGGUAGCGUACUUGCAUGGGGUGCAAGUGGUCGCUGGUUCGAAUCCAGUCAUCCCGAC
rnacentral:tRNA from 1 species